rnacentral:rRNA from 1 species
UACGAAGGGGGCUAGCGUUGCUCGGAAUCACUGGGCGUAAAGCGCACGUAGGCGGCUUUUUAAGUCAGGGGUGAAAUCCUGGAGCUCAACUCCAGAACUGCCUUUGAUACUGGGAAGCUUGAGUCCGGGAGAGGUGAGUGGAACUCCGAGUGUAGAGGUGAAAUUCGUAGAUAUUCGGAAGAACACCAGUGGCGAAGGCGGCUCACUGGCCCGUUACUGACGCUGAGGCGCGAAAGCGUGGGGAGCAAACAGG